AGCUGCUCCUGGACUUGUUUUAAUGCUUAAGGUACUCCUCCCCCUCCUCUUCAUCACUUCCAUCAUCCUUCUCCUCAUUUGGAGAUGCAGGAACAAAAGAGGAGGAAGUGGUGAACAACAGGCUGCGGCUGUCUAUGCUGAGAUAUCAGACGGAUCUGUGUUUGAACCUGCUCAAGGUGGGUCAAACCAACAUAGUUGCACAUACUCCAUCAUCCAUGAAGCUCCAGCACUGGAAAACAACUCUGAGAUUUCUCAGCCCAAUGAGCCCAUUUAUUCUCUGAUCGACAAACCAAAUUAAGAAAAUCCUCAGGACUUAAUAAAGAAUGUGUCACCAUCUGCAACUGGACAUCCAUCCAGCAGCUCUGCUAUUUAUGUUAUAAAUUGUGUUUUAGCAACAUUUAUUUAAAAAGAAUUAAAAAAAAACACAAACAAACAAAAAAAUGUAUAUAUCAGCACUCUGUUUUAUUAUUUUAAUAGGUCCAAAGUUAAUUUGUAUCUUUCAAAUUUAUAAUUUUAUUUAAGUUUGUGUGAAUUUGUUAUUAAAAUAAUGCAAUAAAUCAUAUUUUUGACUUUGAUUGACAGAUACAUCUGAACAAAUCUGUGGUACCCAGAAUAAAAGGAGCCUAUUCCAGUUGACAUUGGGUGAGAGUCAGGGUACACCCUGGACAGGUCGCCAGACUAUUGCGGGGCUAAAACAUAGAGACAAACAACCAUUCAUGCUCACAUUCACACCUACGGCCAACUUAGAGUCACCAAUUAACCUGCAUGUCUUUGGACUGUGGGAGGAAGCCGGAGUGCCUGGAGAUAACCCACGGUGACACAGGGAGAACAUGCAAACACUGCACAGAAGGGCUCCCUCCUGGGAUUGAACCAGGAACCCUUUUGCUGUGAGGCAACAGUGCUAACAAAGCAUGCCGCAAAAACAAAAAACUUCCCCCAAAAAAACCUUUAGCAUCAGGCAGGACCACGGCAGCAACCAUGACCUACGAUCCAGGCACAACCUGUAACAACUGGUGAACCAGGUCAUUGUGACUCAAACGCACGACUCUGGAGACAGUUCGGGUAAAAUAACACAGUCCUUUCUGGUCAAAAGGAAGGUUCAGUACACAGGAGGUAAAUCAGUGGAGGCAAACAAAUCCAUUAGGGAUGAGGCAGGGGCAGAGUCAAUCAACAGGCUAAAUAAAAAAAAAUUAAAAAAACUGGGAAACAAAAGGCUGGACCACAAGGGACCCAAGGAGCUAUGACAAACUGGCACUAAGAGAAAACAAGACACACAAGGAACGUGAGAUGAGACACAGUCAUGAUCCAAGGGAACCUGCGAGACAGUGGAGCAAAAAGGCUCAGUGGGAGAGGCCAAAUUAGUGACAUGCUGUAACAAGAUGUGAAUGCAAGCAAAUGAAGAAGUACCAACUUUUCAGAAUCUAUGUUUGAGAGAGAAAGGAGAGGUGGCUCAGUGUAGGUCCCCUAGCAGACCAGGGGCUGGUCCAAGGCAAGCCUGAGCCAGCCCCAACUAUAAGCUUUAUCAAAGAGGACGGUCUGAGCUCUACUCUUUCACCCCCCGGACUGAAACGGGAAGAUGGUUCCACAGAAGAGCAGCCUGAUAGCUGAAGGCUCUGGCUCCCAUUCUACUUCUUUAGGAACCACAAGUACCCAUUUCUCUCAGCACAGUGAUCUUGUGGGAUAAUAGGGCACUUUGAGCUC